rnacentral:rRNA from 1 species
AGAGUUUGAUCAUGGCUCAGAUUGAACGCUGGCGGCAUGCUUUACACAUGCAAGUCGAGCGGCAGCGCGGGGGCAACUCUGGCGGCGAGCGGCGGACGGGUGAGUAAAGCAUCGGAACGUAUCCCGUAGUGGGGGACAACCCAGCGGAAGCUGGGCUAAUACCGCAUAUGCUCUACGGAGGAAAGCAGGGGACCUGAAAGGGCCUUGUGCUAUGGGAGCGGCCGAUGUCCGAUUAGCUAGUUGGUGGGGUAAAGGCUUACCAAGGCGACGAUCGGUAGCUGGUCUGAGAGGAUGAUCAGCCACACUGGGACUGAGACACGGCCCAGACUCCUACGGGAGGCAGCAGUGGGGAAUUUUGGACAAUGGGGGCAACCCUGAUCCAGCCAUGCCGCGUGCGGGAAGAAGGCCUUCGGGUUGUAAACCGCUUUUGGUCGGGAAGAAAGGGUCACCGUUAAUACCCGGUGAUUGUUGACGGUACCGGCAGAAUAAGCACCGGCUAACUACGUGCCAGCAGCCGCGGUAAUACGUAGGGUGCGAGCGUUAAUCGGAAUUACUGGGCGUAAAGCGUGCGCAGGCGGUUCGUUGUGUCUGAUGUGAAAGCCCCGGGCUCAACCUGGGAAUGGCAUUGGAAACUGGCGAGCUAGAGUGUGGCAGAGGGGGGUGGAAUUCCGCGUGUAGCAGUGAAAUGCGUAGAGAUGCGGAGGAACACCGAUGGCGAAGGCAGCCCCCUGGGCUGACACUGACGCUCAGGCACGAAAGCGUGGGGAGCAAACAGGAUUAGAUACCCUAGUAGUCC